UUAAAAGUCUAAUCUGCCCAAUGAUUGAUAAUUGAAUGGCCGCGGUAAUUUGACCGUGCAAAGGUAGCAUAAUAAAUAGUCUUUUAAUUGGAGGCUUGAAUGAAUGAUUGGAUGAAAAAUUAACUUAAUUAGUAUUAUUAAUUGAAAUUAAUUUUUAAGUAAAAAAGCUUAAAUAGUUAAGUGGGACGAGAAGACCCUAUAGAAUUUAUAAAAUUUAUAGAAUUUAUUUAUUUUAGUCAAUUAAUUUUUUUUAUUUAAAUAAUUUUUUGGUUGGGGUGACAUUAAAAUAUAAUUAACUUUUAAUAAAGAUUUCAUAAAUAUAUGUAAAUAUUGAUCCAAAAUUUUUGAUUAUAAGAAUAAAUUACCUUAGGGAUAACAGCGUAAUUAAUUUGAAGAGUUCUUAUCGAUAAAUAAGAUUGCGACCUCGAUGUUGGAUUAAGGAUAGAAAUUGGAGCAAAAUUUAUUAUUUCUGGGUCUGUUCGACCCUUAAUAU
rnacentral:rRNA from 1 species